UACGGAGGGUGCAAACGUUGCUCGGAAUCAUUGGGCGUAAAGCGCACGUAGGCGGGUCUUUAAGUCGGAGGUGAAAUCCUGGAGCUCAACUCCAGAACUGCCUUCGAUACUGAGGAUCUCGAGUCCGGGAGAGGUGAGUGGAACUGCGAGUGUAGAGGUGAAAUUCGUAGAUAUUCGCAAGAACACCAGUGGCGAAGGCGGCUCACUGGCCCGGUACUGACGCUGAGGUGCGAAAGCGUGGGGAGCAAACAGG
rnacentral:rRNA from 1 species